rnacentral:rRNA from 1 species
UGAGGGAUAUUGGGCAAUGGGGGAAACCCUGACCCAGCGACGCCGCGUGAGGGAAGACGGUCUUCGGAUUGUAAACCUCUGUCUUUGGGGACGAAGAAGGACGGUACCCAAGGAGGAAGCUCCGGCUAACUACGUGCCAGCAGCCGCGGUAAUACGUAGGGAGCGAGCGUUGUCCGGAAUUACUGGGUGUAAAGGGAGCGUAGGCGGGAUUGCAAGUUGGAUGUGAAAAACUGCGGGCUCAACCCGGAGAGUGCAUUCAAAACUGCGAUUCUUGAGUGAAGUAGAGGCAAGCGGAAUUCCUAGUGUAGCGGUGAAAUGCGUAGAUAUUAGGAGGAACACCAGUGGCGAAGGCGGCUUGCUGGGCUUUUACUGACGCUGAGGCUCGAAAGUGUGGGAGCAAACAGGAUUAGAUACC